rnacentral:rRNA from 1 species
CGUUCCCGGACCUUGUACACACCGCCCGUCAAGCGAUGGAAGUUGGGAGGACCUGAAGGCAGUAGCUGUGAGGCGCUAUCUAGGGUAAAACUGGUAACUAGGGCU